rnacentral:rRNA from 1 species
UGGGGAAUAUUGCACAAUGGGCGAAAGCCUGAUGCAGCAACGCCGCGUGAGUGAUGAAGGUCUUCGGAUUGUAAAGCUCUGUCUUUUGGGACGAUAAUGACGGUACCAAAGGAGGAAGCCACGGCUAACUACGUGCCAGCAGCCGCGGUAAUACGUAGGUGGCGAGCGUUGUCCGGAUUUACUGGGCGUAAAGGGUGCGUAGGCGGAUGUUUAAGUGAGAUGUGAAAUACCCGGGCUUAACUUGGGUGCUGCAUUUCAAACUGGAUAUCUAGAGUGCAGGAGAGGAGAAUGGAAUUCCUAGUGUAGCGGUGAAAUGCGUAGAGAUUAGGAAGAACACCAGUGGCGAAGGCGAUUCUCUGGACUGUAACUGACGCUGAGGCACGAAGGCGUGGGUAGCAAACAGGAUUAGAUACCCUGGUAGUCCACGCCGUAAACGAUGAGUACUAGGUGUAGGAGGUAUCGACCCCUUCUGUGCCGCAGUAAACACAUUAAGUACUCCGCCUGGGAAGUACCGAUCGCAAGAUUAAAAC